rnacentral:antisense_RNA from 1 species
CUUCACCGACCCCAGCCACAGCGGUGACCGCCGCCCCCGACCAUAGGUGGCCAGCAGCGCCUGAGCCUC